GAUGAAGAACGUAGCGAAAUGCGAUACGUAAUGUGAAUUGCAGAAUUCAGUGAAUCAUCGAAUCUUUGAACGCAUAUUGCGCUCUCUGGUAUUCCGGAGAGCAUGCUUGUUUGAGUAUCAGUAAACACCUCAACUUCCAUAUCUUUUUUGAAAUGGGAGUUGGACUUGAGUGAUCCCAACGCUUUUCCUCACCGAAACGUGGCGGGUUACUUGAAAUGCAGGUGCAGCUGGACUUUUCUCUGAGCUAUAAGCAUAUCUAUUUAGUCUGCCUAAAAAACAGAUUAUUCACUUUGCUGCAGCUAACAUAAAGGAGAUUAGUUCUUGUGCUGACUGAUGCAGGAUUCACAAAGACAGGCUUCGGCCGACUUUGUAAACUCGAUCUCAAAUCAAGUAAGACUACCCGCUGAACUUAAGCAUAUCAAUAAGCGGAGGA
rnacentral:misc_RNA from 1 species